rnacentral:rRNA from 1 species
UACGUAGGGCGCAAGCGUUGUCCGGAAUUAUUGGGCGUAAAGAGCUCGUAGGCGGCUUGUCGCGUCGGUUGUGAAAACCCAUGGCUCAACCGUGGGCUUGCAGCCGAUACGGGCAGGCUAGAGUUCGGUAGGGGAGACUGGAAUUCCUGGUGUAGCGGUGAAAUGCGCAGAUAUCAGGAGGAACACCGGUGGCGAAGGCGGGUCCCUGGGCCGAUACUGACGCUGAGGAGCGAAAGCGUGGGGAGCGAACAGG